CUCGGUGGCUAUGCCGGAGGGGUCACACCCGAUCCCAUCCCGAACUCGGUCGUUAAGCCCUCCAGGGCCGAUGAUACUGCUAGGUUGCCUAGUGGGAAAGUAGGUCGCCGCCGGGG
rnacentral:rRNA from 1 species